GGCGCAAAGGAUUUUAGAAACCCUAGGUGUUUCUGGAAUUUUCUUCAAAUCAGGCCAUAGUGUAUUGGGCUUGGGGUUUUGGGUAUUUUAGGCUAAAUUAGGUUUGGGUUAAUCUGUAUUGGGCCUAGAGUCUGUAAAUGGACAUUUAAAAUGGACUAUUUUCUAUUUUUUUAUAUUUUUUGUUUAUUUAUUUUUGAUGCGGGCCGGGCAAAUUUGGGUUAUUACAGCUGCCCCUCUUUGCUCGUUGUCGUGUAACGAGAACAAAGCAAAGACUAAAAAGCCCAAUUUUGCCCGGCCGUGUUUGGACC
rnacentral:lncRNA from 1 species